UACGAAGGGUGCAAGCGUUACUCGGAAUUACUGGGCGUAAAGGGUGCGUAGGUGGUUUUUUAAGUCCGUUGUGAAAUCCCUGGGCUCAACCUGGGAAUGGCAGUGGAUACUGGAAAGCUAGAGUGCGGUAGAGGGUAGUGGAAUUCCCGGUGUAGCAGUGAAAUUCGUAGAUAUUCGCAAGAACACCAGUGGCGAAGGCGGCUCACUGGCCCGAUACUGACGCUGAUGCACGAAAGCGUGGGGAGCAAACAGG
rnacentral:rRNA from 1 species